rnacentral:lncRNA from 1 species
ACAUCCGUUAAUUUGCAUGAGGCUGUGAGAAAAAAAAUCUUUGAAGAAGUCUGGCUGUCGGGCAGGCCAGUGUAGAAAAUGGCGAGAACACGGUUUCCUGGAGCAUGAAGCUGUGUCUGAGCAUCUUUUGACACCGUCCCAGGAAGAAGAGGCUCAGUCAGCUCUGAGAAGCCCCUCUGAAAAAGCUGGUGUAGGAGGGAGAGAAGUACUAACGGGUACAGGACUGUCCAGAUAACUGCCUCCUUUCGGCUGACCCAGUAAUUUGCAGCUCUGCUUUCUGGUCCCUGACACUUCAGCUAAGAUGUGCCCAGAGACACAAAUGAACAGCCUUGCUCUGAUACAGGUGGCACAAGGGCACGAUUAUCUUUUGAGAAUGGAACUGUUGAACUGUUGAAUGGAACUUGAUCUCCUGAAGCAAUAAACUGACUGUCACAAGGAAGGGGACGGGUCGAUGCCCAUGAGACUAAUUCAGACUGUCUAACCACGGUUCUGCAUGUGCAUAUGAGUUCAUAUUCGUGUCCACGUCAGGGACAAACAAGCCCUAAGUGCCCAUAGUAUAUUCAAAGCCGAGGCAGCAAAGAAACCCCUGUAUAAAUGCCCUUUUGUUAGUCUAUAGGAGGGACCCUUGUUAAUCUCCCUCUCAGAUAGAGUCUUUUUUUUAAAGAUUUUAUUUUUUCCUUUUUCUCCCCAAAGCCCCCCAGUACAUAGCUGUAUAUUCUUCGUUGUGGGUCCUUCGAGUUGUGGCAUGUGGGACGCUGCCUCAGCAUGGUUUGAUGAGCAGAGCCAUGUCCGCGCCCAGGAUUCGAACCAACGAAACACUGGGCCACCUGGAGGGGAGCGCGCAAACUUAACCACUCGGCCACGGGGCCAGCCCCUGAAGUCUUUUUAUUAUAAUUAACAGAAAAGAAGCCCCAUAGAUAUGGCAUUGUUAACCCACUUUUCAGCAGCGUAUCUCAGGACCACUCCAUUGGGUUGGUGGUAGAGGGGCAGAAGGACGUUCAAGGAAGGAAUGAGGCAGAUGUGGUCGUAUUUACGUCGUGAUGAUAACCCUGGAUGAACACGUGCAUCUCUAUUGUCAGUGCUAUAAAACAUACUGUCAAUAAAUCAAUGCAAACGCACCUUCUGGCUCCUGUUUCCACAGGAUGAUCUGAUCACGCCUUAGCAGCCUUACACUUACUGCACCCUG